CGCCUCUUGUAAUCAUAAGGAUCCAGCCUGACCAGUGCAAUUCAACGGCCGCGGCUCCUAACCGUGCGAAGGUGCAUCCUCAUUUGUUCUUUAAUAGGACUGAAUAUCAACGGCACCACGAGGGUUAUACUGUCUCCUAUCUCUAAAUCAGUGAAACUGAUCCCCCCGUGAAGAAGCGGGGAUCUAGCUAUAAGACGAGAAGACCCCAUGGAGCUUUAAACCCAACAUGCACCCCCUCACCUAAACAUCAACUUAACCUAGAGGACCUGCAUGCUGGUUUUAGGCUGGGGGGGCCACGGAGUAAAAUUAAACCUCCAUAACAAAUGGGCUAACACCCUUACCCACGAUUUACAAAUCUAAGAAUUACCAAAAUAAUGUUUAAUGACCCGAUAAUUCGAUCAAUGAACCAAGUUACCCUGGGGAUAACAGCGCAAUCUACUUCAAGAGCUCUUAUCGACAAGUAGGUUUACGACCUCGAUGUUGGAUCAGGGUAUCCUAGUGGUGCAACCGCUACUAAGGUUCGUUUGUUCAACGAUUAAAACCCU
rnacentral:rRNA from 1 species